AGCGAACGCUGGCGGCAUGCCUUACACAUGCAAGUCGAACGGCAGCGGACCUUCGGGUGCCGGCGAGUGGCGAACGGGUGAGUAAUAUAUCGGAACGUGCCUUUCAGUGGGGGAUAACGUAGCGAAAGUUACGCUAAUACCGCAUAUUCUCUGAGGAGGAAAGCAGGGGACCUUCGGGCCUUGCGCUGAUAGAGCGGCCGAUAUCAGAUUAGCUAGUUGGUGGGGUAAAGGCCUACCAAGGCGACGAUCUGUAGCGGGUCUGAGAGGAUGAUCCGCCACACUGGGACUGAGACACGGCCCAGACUCCUACGGGAGGCAGCAGUGGGGAAUUUUGGACAAUGGGCGAAAGCCUGAUCCAGCCAUGCCGCGUGAGUGAAGAAGGCCUUCGGGUUGUAAAGCUCUUUCGGCCGGGAAGAAAUCGCACAGGCUAAUACCUUGUGUGGAUGACGGUACCGGAAUAAGAAGCACCGGCUAACUACGUGCCAGCCGCCGCCGUAACAC
rnacentral:rRNA from 1 species